GACGAACGCUGGCGGCGUGCUUAACACAUGCAAGUCGAACGGAAAGGCCCUGCUUUUGUGGGGUGCUCGAGUGGCGAAAGGGUGAGUAACACGUGAGUAACCUGCCCUUGACUUUGGGAUAACUUCAGGAAACUGGGGCUAAUACCGGAUAGGAGCUCCUGCUGCAUGGUGGGGGUUGGAAAGUUUCGGCGGUUGGGGAUGGACUCGCGGCUUAUCAGCUUGUUGGUGGGGUAGUGGCUUACCAAGGCUUUGACGGGUAGCCGGCCUGAGAGGGUGACCGGCCACAUUGGGACUGAGAUACGGCCCAGACUCCUACGGGAGGCAGCAGUGGGGAAUAUUGCACAAUGGGCGGAAGCCUGAUGCAGCAACGCCGCGUGCGGGAUGACGGCCUUCGGGUUGUAAACCGCUUUCGCCUGUGACGAAGCGUGAGUGACGGUAAUGGGCAAAGAAGCACCGGCUAACUACGUG
rnacentral:rRNA from 1 species